CAGGACCCAAGCAAGCUUUCGGAGCGCCCUUAUUUUCUUCGGUCGUUGCCCCUUCCCUCCGGAAAAAGAAGAUCCCACUUUUGAAACAAACAGCCCCUGAAGCACCCUACCCAAGGCAAAGCCCGAUGGGCUGCUGUGCAUGUGCUAUUCUUUCUUGCAGUUUAUUCUGGGCCUGUGUGGAAUAGAAAGACAAUUCUUUAUUUGACUGGUAGGAAAGAAAAGAGAAGACUCCUCAGGGUUUCCAAGGAGGACUGGAGCGUCUGCUUUAGUGAAGAAAUGGAGAAUCAAAGAAGUAAAGGACCUGUCUCAAAGUCACACUACUAGAAUCAUAUGCAUCCAUUAAUGAAGCUGAACAAUACCAACCCAAUAGCCUGCUGCUUCCUAACUAUGAUUUCUCAAGUAAUGGCAAUUGCCCUCUGAACAAUUUUUCUUCUUGUUCAGUUGAUUUCACACCCAUGAAACUUUUUUCAGAUUAUUUUUCCUUUUUUGCAUUACAUUUUUGACCCUGGGUCCUCUUUAAGAAUGUGCUUCUUUGAAUUUAUAUUAAUUUGCCUUAUAAGCAAUAUUUCUGCUGAAUGUAUCCCCUUUAUAUUGCACCUCUCUUCUGCUUUCUUAGAGAGAAAAAAUAUCCUUUUAUCCUUUCCAAACAUGGGCUAUCCCUCUCAAAGGCAAUGCCUUUGCCAUUAAAGAUAUUUUGGCCAAAGUGAUACAUAUUAACAUUUCUGAGCUUCUAAGAAAACAGCACUUUGAUGUAGGGGCUAUUCAAGUAAAUUCUGUCUCUCUGUAUUUAUGGUUUGACAUUUUCUUUGGCCAGCUAUUUGUAAUGAAAAGGUGAGUUAAAGUUUUGGGUGAGAAAGAAAGUACUCCACCUUUAUCGAUAAAAGUAAUGAAAAUCAGAAUAGGGCAGCCUUGUGAGGGUUCGGUAUGAGCACUGAAUAUCCAUAGCACUGUGUCUGUCACACAGAAAAAUUAUUUGUUAAGUGAACACGUGCAUUAUUCACUUGUAACUGUCAGUCCUUUUGUCUCUGUCUAUUUGUGAAAGUAGUGUAGCAGAGCAGUUAAAGACUGCAUUGGUAUGGAUAGAAAUCUAGUAUUAGAACUCAGGCAGCUGUCUCAAGAACCAAUCCUCUGCUUGUUUGAAUGCCAUUCAUUGGCCAAAAAAGUGAGUUUGUGCAUAGACAGGACUGUAACAUUUACUCUACGUGACCUCUAGUAGCCAAUUGUGCUAGGACCUGGCAAGAAACAUGGUGUUCUCGGCAUUGUUUCCUGGUUAUAACUAUGGUAAUGCUAGUAAUGCUAGCAAGACCAAGGGGCAUUCCAUUUACAGUUUUCUUUUUAUACAUUCCAGAUUGGU